rnacentral:rRNA from 1 species
UACGGGGGGGGCAAGCGGUUGUUCGGAAUUACUGGGCGUAAAGGGCUCGUAGGCGGCCAACUAAGUCGGAUGUGAAAUCCCAGGCUUAACCUGGGAACUGCGUCUGAUACUGGAUGGCUUGAGUUUGGGAGAGGGAUGCGGAAUUCCAGGUGUAGCGGUGAAAUGCGUAGAUAUCUGGAGGAACACCGGUGGCGAAGGCGGCAUCCUGGACCAACACUGACGCUGAGUGAGCGAAAGCCAGGGGAGCAAACAGG